CAAUAGCGUAUAUUAAAGUUGUUGCAGUUAAAAAGCUCGUAGUUGGAUUUCGGGGCAGCCUGGCUGGUCCGCCGCAAGGCGAGUACUGGUCAGCCGCCCUUCCUAUCGAAAGCCCCGACUGCUCUUCGUUGCAGUGGUCGGGUAGUUCGGGACGUUUACUUUGAAAAAAUUAGAGUGUUCAAGGCAGGCCUACGCCUGAAUACAUUAGCAUGGAAUAAUGGAAGAGGACCUCGGUCCUAUUUUGUUGGUUUCCAGGGCCGAAGUAAUGAUUAAGAGGGACAGUUGGGGGCAUUCGUAUUUAAUUGUCAGAGGUGAAAUUCUCGGAUUUAUGAAAGACGAACAACUGCGAAAGCAUUUGCCAAGGAUGUUUUCAUUAA
rnacentral:rRNA from 1 species